GCUUCCAUGGUAGCUUUACCAUUACUUUACACCAAUUAUUUCCCAAGACAACUCUACUCUCUACAUCUCAUUAUUGACUGUCAAAAAAACCCAUCAGGUAAAAAUUGGAUAUCUAUUAGAAAAGAAAAGGACAUGAAGAUGCUUACAACCCUUUUUAUAAUAGUAAACUUUGAUCCGUUAACUGCUAUUAAAGAUCACCGAGUUUUUGAGCUUUACUUUUGUUGGCACAUGUCAUACAUGAAAUAACAACCUAUUCUCUUGAUUUGUCACGGUACAUAUAAUGUGAUGAAGUUGAGGCAAACUCAAAAUUUCAACAAAGAGAAAUAUAUUGUGUCAAAGAAAUUUCACUCUAAGUUACGUUAAAUACGUAUUGUUUACCUGUAAAACGAUACAGUUAAAUUUGUUACGUGGUUUAUAGACAAACGAACUGAUUUGAUCCAAAAAUAUAAAGAAAUAAGACUAAAAAUGAGACUUAGUAAUUGAAAUUGAAGAAGAUGACAAGUCUGGCUCCGAGCACGAUGUUUUCGAGGACAAAAAUGAAAGCAAUGAUAAAGAGUAAAUAAAGUUGUUUAAUUCAGAGCGAAAGUAAAAUAUAGCAUAUGUUUUGUCAAGAAUUUCGUGUCUUACAAUGACUGCUGAGCCUGCUAUUUAUAGCUAUACUUAGGAAAACAAGAUCGCGGGUGGAUGAAGCGAUUUGUCAUCAUCACCAGCGUGGAUGAUGACAAUGACCGCGGGUGGAUGAAGCGAUUUGUCAUCAUCACUAUUAGGGACAUCAUGUCGGCCACAACUCUGCCCUUUCCUGAAUCGUGGAAUCGCUUUUGUAAGUAUACGAUAUAUUCAUUUCCUUCCUUUGCGAAAAGAUUAUUUUUCGUUGUUGCUGGCCUUUUUGUUUCUUUUGUUCCAGCUACACGGUGGGAAUCUCCACGGGUUCAAGAUUUGGACCAGUGAGUUCAAAAAAUUCCGAAAAUCACAACAUCGGAAUCCCGCCGGUGGAAGGACACGACCCUCAAAUAUGGGUGGAAGGCCAAGAAUCAUGAUAAACCGAGUCCUUCUUCCUUUUAUCUUUGCUUGAACAUAGGUAACUAUACGAAAAGUUGCUAAGUUCGUUUCUUGCUUGAUCCAGGACUUCCGUAGGGAUUUUUCACUUGCCCCGAUGUCGACAUUUUGGCUGACCCCGAAGAGGCUCGGAGGGUGCUGCAAAGUGACCCUUGCUCGAAGCGGUGCCCGCGGAUCUGCUUCCGGUGAGGGCAUCUCUUCUUGAAGUCCCCAGCCCGAUAACAAGCAACCAAAAAGACGCUCUUCCUCAACUGGGGCUCAAAAGAGGAAGAUAAAGGAAACAACGACCGAGUCGGCCACAGUCACAGUGGUCCACGAUGAUGAAGGGGAAGCUAAUGAUGGAGUGGUUUCCCUUAAAAGGAGGAAAAGAUCUUCAUUAGCUCAACCAGAUGCUCAUCCGGGGGAGCUUCAAAACCCGUCCGCAGAAGAAACCCACGCACUUUGGGGCGAGAUGGACUUGGUGGAAAACGCUGAUUCUCGUUUUUCAGUCCCUAUUGUUGUCUCCGGUCCAAGAAGUUCAUAACCUAGGCCUCUUCUGCCUUCGACCACCGAGCAAACAACAACCAGCACUGCCUCUGCCGCAAUUGCUUCUCAUUCUUCCACACCAACAACAUCACGCCUCUCAACACCAGCUUUCCCUUCGCCACUUGCACCAACUGCAUCUCCUUCACCGGCAACAGACAUUAGAGAAAGGGUUGCUUCUCCUUAUCAGUCUCCCAAUCAUGAGAAUUUAGGUCACAAUUACUCACCCCCUUCCCCAAAUCCUCGGGGGAGGAGAAAUGCUACUCUUUCGAUUUCGAAGGAGUGCCAAUUGUUGUCCAAGCUGGUGGAGCUUGCGAACUAUCUGAAGUUGCUGGCUUCAGAAAAGACUGGAAGAAAUUGCAUUCUUUUUUGGGAGAAUGCUUGUUAAACAAUGACAUGCACAACGCGGCAGCAGUACCGCAUUUGUUCUCUUACAACUUCUUUUCUACUUUCCUGUUGCAAUAGAAAUCCUAAUCUUGAUACUUUUUUUUACAUGCUAACUUUCUUGCUUCUGAAGGCAUGCACAUAUUGAUCCUCGAUAAGCAAGGACUAGCUUCUGAGCGGGAUCAACUAUUGGCCGAAAGGAACUAACUUAUCACGCGCCUCCUGGUGUUGGAGGAAAAAAUUACUGAGACGGGCGAGCUUGAGGCACAGUUGCAGCAGAGUGAGCAAGAUAAUGGCCCACAGCCAAGAAGCCACUUAAUUACACGAGCAACUUCAAGAGGCUAAGGCUAAGUGGGCUGAACUCCACGACGUUGUGCUUGAUGCUGCCUAGCGCGAGUCUGCCUUCGAAGAGCAAAUAAAUAAUUUGAACGCAUGCUUAAGCUCCAAACACCGAUGAGGCUAAGGUUACCGAGGAGAAGAUGGACAAUAUGGAAGAGAGUCUUAAGAGGGUCAUGGAUCAAAAUCGGAUUCACUCAACUACAAAUGUUGAGCUCGAUUCUCUCCUUACUGCCUUAUGAUCUGAAAGAGAUGCCCUUCAACCCGAAAUUGAUAGGCUCCAAGCAAAGAUCCAGGACCAAGGGGAUUCCCUCGUAUUCGAAAAAACUUAUGACAUAUAUCAUAUGAGGAGGAAAACCUUGGAAGAGGCCAGCAUAGGCAUUGCUAAUAUAGAUGAUUGUAUUGCCUAGGCCCAAGAACUGGAGUUAUCAACUCGGGAAUGCCUUCCCGCUCGGCCCCCCGUUACCGAUUCCUCGAGUAUUGGUUCAGAGUAUUCGGGGACCGAAUGGGGGAUAGAGGAAUAUGACGAUGAAGGCCAAGAACCGGCAAUUAAUCUGCCUUCCUCCACCGGGGGAACCGCAGAUCCCUCUCUCCCUUCGGGCUCUGGUGGUAAUGAUGCUUAGUUUCUUUUUUCUCUUUAUUUUUGUACUCUGUAAUUAUGCCAAACUUUUCAUCGAGUUUGGAACUUUGAUAAAUAAAGAAUAUUUUUUGCUUAAGUGUUGUGCAAAAUACAUUCCUUUUGUGUUGGUUAAUUAAAGCUUCGGGUAUACUUUCAUCCUAUAGCUUUUGAUUUCGGGCAUGAAUUCUUCUGGAAUCAACCCUUUACUAUGAGGGUUUCAUAAGAGAGGGCCCUUUUAUAUUUACGGCUCUCUUGAAGAGAACGUCUCCUAUUCAUUCCGGCAUAAUUAUUUGAUGUUUUUGUUAACUUUCAUAUGAUAAAAUUGACUCAUCAUUUGGACAAGAAACAAGAUAAAAAUAAAAGGACUUUAUUUUAUUCCUUCUAUCUUUAAAAGUACACGAGCAUUCAUUUGCUAAAUUAAAAAAGAAAUUGUCAAUACAUGUGGUUAACUUAUACAACUUAUUUCUACGGGGCUGGUCAUGUAGUCCCCGGUCCCGAUAAGGCAUUAUUAUUCCUGGUUCUAGCAGUCCCUGAUUUUUCGUGGCAUUCUCGUUGCUGUAUCUUAUACUGUCCCCCUCCCCCCAGUGUUCGAAUGUGAAGUAUGCGAAUUGGAACACUGGAAGUCUUGCUUCGUUAGUGGGAACAACUUGUGAAUGGUUAAAUAGUCUUUGGUUCGAUGGCAAGCUUUGAUUCCCAUCAGCGAUUUGCCAUCGAACCAAAGAUUAUUUAACCAUCCCCAUAGCGGUUUAUCAUUGAUGUGAAGAUUUCAAUGCCUUGUCAUUUAAAGGUCUUAUCCUUGCCGAUGGCCCUCCUUUCAUAGUAUGCUUUCCGUUGGUGCCUCGCUAAAAACCUUGCACCAGAAAAACCCGAUUGAGACAAAAACUGGUCGAAGGGAAAAAUAGUGCAGCACAUACUUUCAGUAUUUAUAGGAUCCAUCAGCAAUAAUAUCUUUGAGGUGAGUCACAUUCCAAUUGUUGGGCAAUUUGACUCCAUCUUGAUUUUCCAACUCGUACGACCCUUUACCGGUGAUAGCUGAAACCCGGUAAAGACCUUCUUAUGUUGAACCUAGUUUUUGGGCGUUGACUUCGUGAGUGCUCUAAGUCACUUUUCUUAAAACCAAAUCUCCUUCUUUGAAGUUGUACAGAUUGGCCCUCCGAUUAUAAUAUCUUUCCAUCCUUUGAUUUUGAGCCACCAUCCUCACAUACGCCAAGUCCCUGUGUUCAUCAAGAAAAUCCAGCUUCACCACCAACGCCUUAUUGUUUGAUUAGGAAAACCGUACAGUCAGUUCCUCCACUUCUACCAGUAUUAGAGUUUUUGCACCAUAUACGAGAGAGAAAGGUGUUUCUCUUUUUCUCGAUUUUGCCAUCGUCCAGUAUGCCCGCAGCACACCCGGUAUCUCUUCGGGCCAUUUGGCUUUAGCAGCUUCUAACUUCUUUUUAAGGUUUUGGAUAAUUACCUUGUUGGUUGAUUCUUCCUAUCCAUUAGCACUUAGAUGAUACACUGAGGAUGUAAUCCUUUUGAUUUUCAAAUCUUCCAGAAAUUUUGUGACUUUUGAGCCUAUGAACUAUGGUCCAUUGUUGCAGGAAAUCUCCUUCUGUAUUCCGAAUCGAUAGAUUAUGUGGUCCCAUAUGAAGUCGACCACUUCGCGUUCACCGGUCUUUUGGUAAGGACAUGUUUCAACCCAUUUAGUGAAGUAGUCAGUUAAAAUUAAAAGAAAUCUUACCUUUCUGAGACUCGAUUGUAGUGGACCAACUAUGCCCAUCCUUCAUUUCAUGAAUGGCCAUGGGGACAGUACUGAAUGCAAUAGUUCUGUCGGUUGGUGUAACGAUUGUGCAUAGAGUUGACAUUUGUCGUUUUUUUGAACGAAUGCCUUUGAGUCCUGCUCCAUCUGAGGCCAAUAUUAACCUGCCCUAACCAGCUUUAGAACUAAAGAAUCUGCAUCAGAAUGGUUUCUGCAAAUUCUUCGUGAACUUCUCUUAUCACGUAGUCCGCCUCCGAGGCCCCUAGACACCGGGCCAAUGGUCCUUGAUAUGAUAUCCUGUUUAACUGCCCAUCUAUGAGGCAGUAAUGAGCCACUUUGGUUCGUAGUGCCCGGGACGCCUUCGGGUCUUCGGGUAAUUUGCCAUGACGAAGAUAUUAGAUGAACUCAUUCUUCCAGUCCCAAACUAGGUUGAUUGAAUUGACCUCGCUUUAACCAUCCACAUCUAAUACCAAAUGUAAAAGUUGAACGACUUCCGGAGUCAGAUCCUUUCAUCUCCGUAGAUGACCCUAAAUAGGCCAAUGCAUCUGCUUCCACAUUUUCUUCCCUUGGGAUAUGUAUGAUCGACCAUUCCCUGAAUCGUGCAAGUAACGCUUGAACCUUGUUCACAUACUGUUUCAUACGUUCUUCCUUUGUGUCAAAAAUCCCAUACACUUGGUUUACUACCUGCUGGAAAUCGCAUUUUAUCUCGAUGCAGAGCCAAGUCCCCGGGCCAGUUCAAGUCCUUCUUCCUCCCCGACUAAAACCGCACUUAUCUCUACUUCUGAGACUGCUAGAUAUAGUAGCAACUGCUUGCCUUCCCCCGGUUUUGACAGUAACGGGGGACUUGAUAGGUACCUUUGAAAGUAUUUCAAGGCAUGUUGGCAUUCCGGAGUCCAUUCGAAAUUGUUCUUCGUUUUGAGAAGUGAGAAAAAGUGGUGGCAAAUUUCUGAGGAUCUUGAGAUGAACCUGCUUAAGGCUGCUAACCUUCGAGUUAAUCUAUGCACCUCCUUCAUGCUCGUCAACUGGUCCGGUAUAUUUUUGAUGGUUUGAUUUUGUCGGGGCUUACCUCGAUCCCUCUUUGCUAGACUAGGAACCCCAAGAAGUUACCAGACCCAACUCCAAACGCAUAUUUUUUUGGGUCGAGUUUCAUGUUAUGUUUCCUUAGGACAUCGAAAGUCACUUGAAGGUGUUUCAGAUGAUCUCUUGUAUUCAAAGACUUGACUAACAUGUCAUCAAUGUAUUCCUCCUUCGUUUGCCUAUCUGAUUUUCAAACAUUUUGUUAACGAGUCUCUCGUAAAUGGCUUCGAUGCUCUUAAGCCCAAGUGGCAUCACAUUAUAAUAAUAUAUGCCAAAGUUCGUUAUAAACGAAGUUUUUUUCCUGAUCCUCCGGGUUCAUCUUGAUUUGAUUGUACCCGGAGUGAGCAUAAAGGAAAUUCAUUAACUCGUGCAUGGCCGUAGCAUCAAUAAUUUGAUCAAUAUUUGGUAAUAGCAACAAGUCUAUAGGGAACACCUUAUUUAGAUCUUUAUAGUCUACGCACAUUCUAAACUUGUUAUUCUUUUUUGGUACUACAACUAUAUUGGCUAACCAUUUUGGAUAUUUUACCUCUCCUAUGGAACCGAUAUUGAGUAGUUACCUCUUUUUUAACAAAUAUGUUUCUAACCUCGGCGAUUGCACGCUUUUUCUGCCUUGCCGGUAGGAAGUUUGGGCCCAAGCUUAGUUUGUGCAUGGCCACUUCUAAUGGGAUACCUGUCAUAUCUGAGUGAGACCAUGCAAAGCAAUAUGUGUUAGCUUUAAGGAAAUCCAUAAAUUCUAACCUAAGUUCGGGGAUUAAGUCAUAUUCCCAAGUGAAACUUUCUUUCCAAAAACUCUUCGAAUAGGGCCACUUGCUCGAGUUCUUCUGCAGUGGACUUGGUCGUAUCCGUCUUCUCCGGUACCUGAAAGUAUCUCGGUACCUGGUGGGCUUCCAAUGACUCCUCGCCUUUAUAUUCUUGGUUCGGCAAGGGAGAAAGCAUUGUUUCCUAUAAUUGCUACUUGUUGGGCUCCUUCCUCUUGUUGCUGGAAAUUGUUACUGCGUUCAUUUCCCUUAUUGUUGGUUGAUAUCCUCUUAUCUGCUUGAUUCCUUCUGGGGUUGGGAAUUUCAAUAGUUGAUGAUAUGCUUAGGUCACAACCUUCAUUUCGUAUAUACACAGCCUUCCCAGGAUUACAUUGUAGCCCAUGUCGCCGUUUACCACUUCAAAUAAGGUGGUCUUGGUUACCUCUUUGGCAUUUAUGGGUAGCUGGAUCUCUCCUCGGAUUGUCACACUCGUCAAGUUGAAUCCAGCUAAGAUUUUUGUCGCCUGAAUGAUGCUUCCAAUCAGCUUUGCUUGUUCUAACACUCUCCAUUGGAUGAUGUUGGUUGAGCUUCUUGGGUCAACCAAAACACGCUUAAUUUUGAAAUCUAGAACAUUAAGAGAAAUUACCAGAGCGUCGUUAUGUGGCAUAAGAAGUCCAUCGGCGUCUUCCUUCGUGAAGGUGAUAUCAUCUUCCGUGACUUCCCAGAGUCUCUUAUUGUGAGUAACCAAUAUAUUUAUUUUCUUGGCCACCGAGAAGGUCAUACCGUUAAUUUCAUUCCCUCCAAAAUCAUAUUGAUAGUCAACCGAGGGGAGUCUUCUGCUGCCGUCGAUGGCUCUGUAUUGUCCCGGCUUCGGUCGUAGUUGUUCUUAGCUCGUUCACUUAGAAAUUCUCUGAGAUGGUCAUUCUUCAACAAUGUCGCUACAUUUUCUCGUAGAUGCUGGCAGUCUCUAAUUCUAUGAUCGUGAGUUCCGUGAUAUUUACACUAUAGAUUGGGAUCCCUCUGGCUGGGAUUAGAUCUGAUUGGCUUUGGGAAUCUUGCUUCUUUGAUAUUCCUCAUCGUCGAUACCAAAUCCACUAAGUUGAUGUUGAAGUUAUAAUCCGAUAACCUGGGAUAUGUGGAGUCACAGGCUACUGGUACCUCUUUUUCUUGUAAUGACCUAUUAUUUUGGCUAAGGUCGGUUCUUCUAUCGGAAGUGAACCUAUCCGAGGACUGAAACCCUUUGUUUCUCUGUCCCUCGUCUAUUUCAUACGGUAGGUAACGACCUUUAGAAGACCUUCGAUCCGCAUCGAAGUCAGUUCUAAACUUGUCCUAGUUUUUGUCUCGGUCCCGUCCCUUGGUUGAUGUUGGGAACCCGAGCUGAUCAUCUUCUAUUCUUAUUUUUGACUUAUAACGGUUAUGGACAUCCGCCCAUGUGGUUGCUUGGAAUUCGAGCAGGCUUUCCUUCAACUUUUGGGGAGGCGUCGGAGCUUUGUGGAUUCAAACCCUUUGUGAACGCCUCUACUGCCCACUCAUAUCGUACAACCGGUAAUAACAUCCUCUUUUUCUGGAACCGGAUCACGAAUUCUUGCAACAAUUUGACUCACCUUGUGCAAUCCCGAAUAUGUCAGUCUUCCUGGCUUAGACCUUUUUUGCCCCGGCAUGGGCCUUAAUGAAUGAAUCUACAAGCAUUUAAAAAGAGACAAUUGAAUGCUCGGGCAAGAGUUAAUACCAUGUCAGGGGCCCCUUUGUGAGGGUUUCACCAAACUUCUUCAGUAAGACCGCUUCAAUCUCAUGUUGAGCCAAAUCGCUCCCCUUCACAAUCGUGGUGUAGGCCAUGAUGUGUUCUUGCGGAUCCGAAGUCUCAUCGUAUUUUGGUAUUCCAGCAUUUUGAACCUCUUUGGAAUUAACUCUAGUGUUGCGCUCGGUUUAAAUGGCAAUUGUGUGUAUUUUUUCGAAUCUAGGCCUUUUAGUAUUGGUGGUACCCCCAAAAUCUGAUCCAUUCGAGCGUAGAACUCCUUCGCAUUUUGAUCCAUUAGUUCGUUCAUUUCUCUCAUAAACCUCAUAAGCUCAGUUUUGAAGGGAUCAUUCCCGCAGUCAUUACCAGAUCCGCUAUCGAUCCAUCUGACACCGUCAAAACCUACCUCACCCCUUGGGGUGUUAUUAUCGACUCUUUAAACCGUUUGAUUUGCGAGAACGCCGAGAGGAACUGAGCCCCUUCCGUCUGCAUUAUAGGAAGCGCCUGGCAAUGCUUGUUUCAACUCCGUCAUUAUCCGAGCCUACCUUGAGAAGUGACUCAUGAUUGAUUUUUGUUGUUCUCUUAAGAUUUUCACCUUUUCCACGACAUGUACCUCUUUCGCAUCAUCAGGAGUUGGCUCCCGCACAUGCCGGGGGUACUGCCCUUCACGAACUAGGGUUGCUUCGUCCCCUUCAUUACGGGAGUCGCUGAUCGAGUCUUCAUGCUAAGGCAAAUCUUCGCGUCCCUCAAUGUUUUGUGUGAUGUUGACAUCAUUAGCUGUCAUUUGUGAUUUCUUUCUAAGGAAAAAGUCAAACACGUUAGUAAUAAACAUAAGGAUCAAAGUAAUUAUGCAACUAUCUAAGCCCCACGGUGGGCGCCAAACUGUUUAUACGUAAAGUGGUACAGUUAAAUUUGUUACGUGUUUUAUAGACAAGUGAACUGAUUUGAUCCAAAAAUAAUAAAGAAAUAAGAUUAAGAAUGAGACUUAGUUAUUGAAAUUGAAGAAGAUGACAAGCCUGGCUUCGAGCGUGAUAUUUCCGAGGACAAAAAUGAAAGCAAUGAUAAAGAGUAAAUAAAGUUGUUUAAUUCAGAGCGAAAGUAAAAUAUGGCAUAUGUUUUGCCAAGAAUUUCGUGUCUUACAAUGGUUGUUGAGUAUGCUAUUUAUAUCUAUACCUAGGGAAAUCAGAUCCUAGGAUAAAACUCCACUUAAAUGAUAAUAAAGGAGUCAUUGAUGAAUAUGUAACGGCAUGCCAUGAAUGCAAAUAUUCUCUGUAACGGUUGAUCAUUUACUGUUAGUGAGUAUUUCUUCAUUGAAUUCUAUCCGAUGGCAAAUACUCGAUCUGCUCCCACUGACUACGCAACCUUUGGGAUUUGCCCGAUGUCGAUUGUAGUUGUUGACCCCGAUACUAAAUGUUACUUGACAUACCUUUUAUCUGUCUUCGGUUCCACGUGUCAUGCUAUCAUUCGACCAUUUAUUAUAAACCAAUUUUACCUCAUACAUAUAUAUAUGUGGUACUCUUUAUCGAGAAACAGAGCUAGAAUUUGCUAUAACCAUCAACAAUGUUACCGAGGAUAGAAAAUCCUUCUACUAUACAAAUAUUUUAAUUUUAUUCGUUGUUUUCAAUUCAUACUUUUGUUUCGUAUAUGUCCUUAAUACUAACAAAACUCUUAUUUGGACCCUAAAGUGAAGUAUAAUGACGCGUGAUUUUCAUUCAUAAUCGAAAGUGGAAGAAUAAAUGUGAACCUUUUUCAAGUUAUUUUGGCAUGUGAAUCCACCAACUCUUACGCUGAAGCUUCAUGAAGUCAAGGACAAGUACGUGACAAUUUGUUAACUAUAAGAAUAUGAAUGAUUUCAAAAUAUAACGGAAGAUAAAUUAAAUUGUUAUAUAUCGUAAAAGGGUAAAUUUAAAAAAUUUCCAAAGAAAACAGAAAAUCUUAUAAAUAGAAUUAUAUUUAAGGUGAAUGUCUAUAUUUUAGAGAGAUUUUAGGGUUUAUUACUUUAUGACUAAGUCACUCUUUCCUUGGUUCUAUUCCAUUGUAAAUCAUCCUAAUUCAAUAAGAAUUUUCUCUCUCUACUUUUUUCUACAAUACUCUUCUUCUUCUUUUAUUGUUUUAUAACACGUUAUCUACACGAGACUCUAACCAAUUGAGUAGAGGUAUCUGCUUUGGUCGCCAGGCUUUGGGAUGUGUGCAUGGUGCUCAACUUGUAUAUAAUAUUGAGCAUAAUGAUUGUCAAUUGUUCCAUGAACUUCUUUCAAGAAUAAAUUCUGGAUUUAAGGUAAGUAUUUUACCUUAUUUUUCUCUUUUAAAUUCUUGAAAUUCUAUAAUUUAAUUUUAAAUACAAACAAAGACAAUAAAUUUUGAUUAUAAUUCUAAUAGAGUUUUUGAGAAAUUAUAACCGCCCGAAGUGGUAAAAUUUAUAUGUCUUGCCAUGAUCAAAUUCACGUAUGAUUAUGAGCACAAGAAGUGGAAACCCACCCAUUGAAUUUGCUUCAUUCUCAUUUCUUUAAGAGAAUGUGGUAGCAAUAUGUAAAAAGUCUGAAAGAAGAUAAAAUUAUUACUGUGAAGGUAUCAAUGGAUGUGGACGUGGCAAUAGAUAAAAUUAUAAUUGUCGUCAUUAUGGUAAUGAGAAUAAUAAGGAUUCUCAAAAUAAUGCUUCACUCUGUGAUAGUAAUAUUUGUAAUUGAUUGACAUGAGAUUUUGUAAAGCACAUAUAGAUGAUUAUGGUCCAUUCAUGAUGUGAAUGUGACAACAUGUGAUUUAUGAAUACAUAUUCAUUCUAGGAAGAAUAUGAACGUGCUAGUAGUAGUGGAUAUACUACACUAACCUCUAGAAAGAGGUUUGAGAUGAAAUAAGAAAAUAAUUUCAUUAUUAUGGCAUGACUGGUCAUUGAUCACGUACCUAUUGUGAUUAUGCCGAAAUAUUAUGGCAAUGUGAUUAUUACAAGACAAAAAUAAUAGAAGCGAUAUAUCAUGCCUAUAAUGAUUUUGAUCAUGACUAUAAUAGUAUAACUUUCUCCUUGAAAGAGAUAUUCACCAUUUAGAUGUUGAUGAAUAUGUAGUAGUACAAAAUUAAUUGAAAGCUCUGGAAGAGCCAAUUAUGCUAUUUUGGAGAAAUAAAAUUGAUUAUCAAUAAAGUAUUGUGUCGUAGUAAGUCUCAAAGAAACUUAUUUAGUUUCUAGAAUAUUCGCGAAAGCGGUUGGUUAUAUUGAGACUAUAAAUAUAAGAAAUAUUUAAUAUCUUCUAUUACUAUAACUUGUAGCGGGUUAAUAUGUAUGUAAAAAACUACCUGUUUUAUUCUCCAGUUUGUACUACACAAAUAAAAGUAUGCAACAACAAAGUAAAAGUUUAUUGAUAUGAAAACCUAUAUCAUAAUAAACUUAGAGAUUAUUGAUAAUUGCACACGUCAUGGUAUAAACCUGAAGUUUAUCAAUAUUGAUAAUUUAUCCAGUUGGCAUAACUAGUUUAGCUAUAUCAAUUUAAGUAUGAUGUGCAAAAAAAAAAGGAGAAUUCGCAUGGGUAAAUAUUAAAGAAUUAGAAAGUUCUUUACGAAUUCUCUUAUGUUGCUUGUUCUCAUUAAUUAAUAGACCAACUAAAAUUGGGAUUGUGUUACGGCCCAAAAUUUCUACCUUCGGGACCGUGACGGCGCCUAACAUUUCACUUGCUACGCAAGUCAACGUUAGAAUAAUAUUAGCUAUUUUUAAAUAAUUUUAAAUUAAUUAAUAAUUAUAACGAUCCAGCCGAUCAUUUUGAGUGUAUUAGACCCGGUCCUCUAUUUACUAUUUUUCUCGUAUCUAUUUCUGCUUAUGUGACUUACCGGGAGGUCUUAUUUUUGGUUUCGGAGUGUUUUGGGAUACUUAGUCCCUAAAACGGAAGCGUAAGUCUCAGAAUUUUGACCGUAGUAGGAAGUGUGUAAAGAUGACUCCUGAAUGUAGUUCUGUUAGUUCCGAUAGCUCUGUUGGGUAGACAUAGGAGCGUGUCCGAACUGUGAAUUUGAGGUCUGUAGCUGAUUUAGGCUUGAAAUGACGAAAGUCAAAUUUUCAAAAGUUUGACCGAGGGGUUGACUUUUUGAUAUCGGGGUCGGAUUCCAAUUGGAGUAUGUGCGUAAGGUUGAAUAUAACUUGUGUGCACAAUUUGAGUUCAAUCGGGUGUGGUUUGGUAUGAUUCGGCAUCAUUUGUAGAAUUCAAAAGUUUAAAAGUUCUUUAGGCUUGAAUCCGGGUGUAAUCAGUGUUUUGGUAUUGUUUUGACUGAUUCGAAGGUUCGACUAAGUUCGUAUUGGAUUAUAUGACUUGUUGGCAUAUUUGGUUGAGGUCCCGAGGGCCUCGGGUAGAUUUUGGGUGGUUAGCGGACUUGAUUUUUAAGUUGAUGAAGCAGCUGAAGAGCUGCUGCUACUGGUGUAACCGUACCUGCGGAGUGGGCACCGCAGGUGCGAGCACGCAGAAGCGUUGCAUGAAUCGCGAUGCGGGCAAGGCCAUGAAGGACGGGGGUCGCAAGUGCGAAGAAUUUCCCGCACCUGCGGUAGCGCAGAUGCGGACAAGUGGACGCAGGUGCAGGGGCAACUAGGAGAGCGUGACUCCGCAGAAGUGAGGCCAGGGCCGCAGAUGCACGUUCACAGGUGCGGAACCUGGAGCGCAGGUGCGGGCCCUAGAGGUGCAAGUGACUUUCGCAGAAGCGGAAGUUUCACCGUAGAUGUGGCAUCGCAGGUGCGACAAUAGGUCCGCAGAUGCGAAAAGUCUGGGCAGAAGGUUUAAAAGCAAGGGUUCGCGAUUUUAGUCUUAUUUCAACAUUUUGGACUCGGACUUAAGCGAUUUUGGAGAAGNNNNNNNNNNNNNNNNNNNNNNNNNNNNNNNNNNNNNNNNNNNNNNNNNNNNNNNNNNNNNNNNNNNNNNNNNNNNNNNNNNNNNNNNNCCAACUGAUUUCCCCCAUCUAAUUAGUGAGAUUUUGAAGUGAAAUUUGGGGGUUUGGGGCUUGAGAAUUGGAGAGUAAAUUUUGGGGAUUUGGAUGAUCAAAUGGUGUCGGAUUUUGAUAAAUUUGGUAUGGUUAGACUCGUGAGUGAAUGGGAUUUCGGGUGUUGUGACUUUUGUCAGAUUUCGAGAUGUGGGUCCGGAGGCCGGUUUGAGCCGAUUUCGGAUUUUUGGCUAUGAUUUAGUACUUUUUUGUGGAAUUGAUCCCUUUAGCCUAUAUUGAUUGUAUUGUAAUACUUGUGGAUACAUUUGGGAUGUUUGGGGAUUCAUUCGAGGGGCAAGGGCAUUGCGGAGUAGGAUUUUGUGCGGUUUGAGGUAAGUAACAGUUUUAAAUCUGGUCGUGAGGUACGAAACCUCGGAUUUUGGUAUGAUGUGACUAUUUUGGAGGUGACGCACAUGUUAGGUGACGGGCGUGUGGGCGUGCACCGUGGGGGACUGUGACUUGGUCUGUCCCGUGAGACUGUAAAGUCGAAUAGCCUAUUGUUAAUUACAUGUUCUCUCUGUGUUAUAGAAAUUUGACUGCAAAUCAUAUUAGAAAUAAUGCUUAGGCUAUGUGAUGGUACUGUUGGGACCAGCAGAGGUCUCGUACUUAUUGAAGUAUUUGCUAAUUGUUGUCUUGUACUCAGUCAUGGUUUUACUUGCGUAUCAUAUUUCAAUCUCUUCUUGAUUCUUGUUGAUACACUAUGUUAUUUUUAUUUAGGCUGAUCUUUAUGAUUUCUGAGAGCCCGAGAGACUAUAGCGGUUGGUGACUAUGUUAGGUCCUGAGUGCCGAGCUAUGAGCUAUAUGUGUAUAUAUGGAUCGGGUUGCAUGCCGCAAAGAGCCUUAGGGCUGUAUAUAUGGAUCGGGUUGCAGACCGCAACGAGCCUCAGGGUUGUGUAUAUAUAUGGAUCGGGUUGCACGCCGCAACGAGCCUUAUGGCUAUUUAUAUGGGAUCGAGUUACAUGCCGCAGCGAUAUAGCGCUUGGGCUGAAGGAGCCCCUCCGGAGUCUGCACACCCCCAGUGAGCGCAAGUACCUAUUGAGUGUGAGUAUUGAGGGUUGAGAGCCGAGUGAUUGAGCUGUUGUGAUGAGUUGAGUGACUGUUGCCCUGAGAGGUUGUACUUGCUUUUUUAUUUAUUGAUGCACUUAGUUGCUAUCUAUCAUCGUCAUGAAAUUUCUAAGGGAUUCUAUAUCUGGAUUUACCUUCAUUGUAAUUGUAUAAGGUUGAUUUGAUUUGAACUAUCGGAUUUGAAAGCAUGUCUAUUCUUUGCUGGAAUUAUUGAAAAUGAACUGUAUUUGUAUAGCUCGUCACUACUUUCUUAGUUCCUUAUUUAUUUCUGUUACUUGCUGAGUUAGUUGUACUCACGCUAUACUCUGCACUUCAUGUGCAGAUCCAAGUGUGUUUGAUCACGGAGGUCGUUGAGUUCGUGCGCGAUCGAGUACCAGAGACUACGAGGUAGCUGCCGACACCCGCAGACCUUGUCUCUCCUUCUAUGUUUUCUUUCUUUUCUGUAUUGAUACUUAGACACAGUUUGUAUUAGACUGGAUAUCUAGAUGCUCAUGGCUUAGUGACACCCCGAUAUCGGGCUAUUUUUCCACGCUUAUGUUUUGUUUGGGUUUUACCCCCGUUUUUAUGAAAAACUCCGGUUAUUUUAAAUGUCUUAAUUCAUUUCUGUUAAUUUUUGAAAGUAUUUUGGAAAGGUCGGCUUACCUAGUAUCACGAUAGGCGCCAUCACGACGGGUUAGGUUUUGGGUCGUGACAAUAACAAAGAAACAAAUGCGGAAGUAAAGUCUGAAAUAUAGUGAAUAAUCUAUAAUAAUAGCGAUGUCUAACUACCAUCCCAGAACUGGUGUCACAAGUGCUUGAGCUACUAGAACAAUACAAAUAAAGGUCUGAAUGAAAAUGAUGUUGUCGGAAAGAAACAUAUAGCUAUGAUAAAGUGGAAGGAGACUUCAGAACUGCGAACGUCAUGCAGUUAUACCUCAAGUCUCCUGCGAAUAGCUGAAUAAGAGAAAAUCUACUAUACUCCAUUGGGACCAACCCCGGUAUGUGCACAGGAAGUGCAGAGUGUAGUAUGAAUACAACCGACCACAUGUACCCAGUAAGUGCAGAGCCUAACCUCGACGAAGUAGUGACGAGGCUAAGGCAUGUCACUUAUAUUAAUCUGUACGCAAUAAUAAUAACAACAAAAAUAAUAGAAAUAAAACAGGUAUCUCAUUUCAAUAGCGGAAGCCAACUCAGCAGUCAUAACCAAUUAUUAUUUCAAUCAGUUUCCGUUACGGCGUGCAACCCGAUCCCACAAUAUAUUCAUAUUCAAUUCCGUUGCAGCGUGCAACCCGAUCCCAUAAUAUAUUCAUAUUCAAUUCCGUUGCGGCGUGCAACCUGAUCCCAAUAUAUCUUUUCAAUCAAUUCUCUUGCGGCAUGUAACCCGCUCCCCCAAUAUAUUCAUUUCAAUCAAUUCUGUUGCGGCGUGCAACCCGCUCCUCCAAUAAUAUAAUUUACCAAUUCUUAUAAAAAAAAUUACUCCAAUAAAUGCAAUAAUUAAUAUAUAAUUAUAAGACAACAAGUAUACAAUAAUUAUGAUUUAUUUAGAAAAAAAUGAUGACAAGUAGCAAUUAAUUAUGGAAAUUAAGGAGGAAAUAGGCAAUUUAAUAAUUAGUAUACUAAAUGUCAAGUAGCAAUUAAGUCACAUAAAUCAAAUAAGCAUGUAGCAAUUAUAGCAUGGAUUCAAUGCAUAAUAUUGAGCAAGGUAUAUGAGAAAAACAAUCAAUAUAAUAAUUAAUUCAUGAUUUAAAAUAAUUUAUGAUUUUUAAAUAAUUAGAUAAAUAAUUAAUUUGACGACGUAUAGACACUCGUCACCUCGCCUAUGCGUUGUUCACAUGAAUUUCGCAUAACAACUAAUUCAAGGGUUCUAUCCCUCAAGUCAAGGUUAACCACGACACUUACCUCACUUUGCAACCAAAUUCAAGAUUUCAAUAAACCUUUGCCUCGCGAAUUUGUGUCCGAAAGUUUCAAAUCUAGUCACAACAAUUCAAUAUACUCAAAACGAAUUGUAGGAAUUAAUUUCAUAUGAAAUUACUAAUUUUCCGGAUUAAAAUCUGAAAUUCAUUUUAAAAAUCGAUAGUGGGACCCACGUCUCAAAUUCCGAAAAAACUCACGAAAUCCGAACACUCGUUUCGAUACGAGUUCUAGAAUACAAAAAUUAUCGAAUUUCGAUAUCGGAUUGACCUUAAAAUCUUCAUUUUACAUUUUUGGAAGAUUUUAUAAAAAUCUGAUUUUUCUUCCAUAAAUUCAAGGAUUCAUGAUGUAAAUGAAUAUGGAAUCAUGAAAUAUAAUCAAUAUAGGAUAAGGAAUACUUACCCCAAUGUUUACCCGUGAAAAUCGCCCAAAACUCGCCUUACCCGAGCUCAAAAUUGUGAAUAAUGAAAAAUAGGACAAAAUCCCAUUUCCAGAACUUAAGUUCUACUGUCCAGAGAUUUCUUCUUCGCGAACGCGAGGGCAGUCUCAUGAACGUGAUGCUUUGCCAAGCUUGGCCUUCACGAAUGCAGUCUUCCAUUCACGAACGCGAAGCCGUAUCGCCUGGUACCCAGCCAGGCCUCGCCCUUCUAAGCGAACGCGAACACUCCCACGCAUUCGCGAUGAGCACUGCCCAUUACCCUUCGCGAACGCGAAGAGUAAAUUUCGUUUGCCUCUAUUUCCUCUUCGCGAACGCGAAGAAGGAAACCAUACGUUACAUCAGAAAAGUUCCAGCAAAGUUCCAAGUCAAAAAUUCAAUCCGUUAACCAUCCGAAACUCACCCAAGGCCCUCGGGACCUCAACCAAAUAAACCAACAAGUCCAAAAGCAUUAUACGAACUUAGUCAAAACCUCAAAUCACAUCCAACAGAACUAAAACCACGAAUCAUACCCUAAUUCAAACUUAAGGAACUUAAUGUCAUGACCCAAACUCCCUCUGUAUAACGUCGUGACGGCACCUAAUCUCUAUGACUAGGUAAGCCUAACAAAUUGCAAAAAAUAAACAAAUGAAAGUAAAACUUGGAAAGUAACAGCAGUAGAUAACUGGAUAACUAGUAACAAUGCCGCUCGGCAUGUACAAUCAUCAAUACUCUAGAAAUACACAAUCUUCCCAAAACCCGGAACACCAAAAGUCACAAGCUACAGAAGGAAAAUAACAUCUCUAUACACCAGAGUCUAAUAAAAGGAAUACAGGAAAUGUUUGACAUAGGGGAGAAUAUAGGGGGGAAUCCUAGGUAUGCGGAUGCGGCAGAUGUACCUGGAAGUCUCCGUAUAGCAGCAAGCACUCUCAGCUAAUAGCGGGGCUGAUAAGAAGUACCUGGAUCUGCACACAAAAAUAUGUGCAGAAGAGUAGCAUGAGUACACUACGACGGUACCCAGUAAGUGCCAAGCCUAACCUCGGUCGAGUAGUGACGAGGUCAGGUUAGGCCUACUGGUAAAUAAUAAAUAAGGCAGGAGAAUAUAUACAGUAUAAUAAGAGACUAGAAUUUAACAAAAGGAAAUACGGCAAGGCAAUAGUACAACACACACGGGUAAACAACAGAGGAUAUCCCGAGAUAUCGUCUCGUAGUCCCAAAAUAAAUAUGCAGGGAGAACUCCCGAAGUACCGCCUCGUAGUCUCAAAAGUAAAUAUACAGGGAGAACUCCCGAGGUACCGCCUCGUAGUCUCAAAAGUAAAUAUAUAGGGCGAACUCUCGAGGAACUUCCUCAUAGUCUCAAAAGUAAAUGUGCAGGGAGAACUCCUGAGAAACCGCCUCGUAGUCUCAAAAGUAAAUACACGGCUCAAACCGAUAAAUACAAUAGUUAACAAUAAAAUUUCUAUAGUUAUACUGAUAAAGAACAAGGAAAAGCAGGAAAUCAACUAGGCAUACUUUACAGAGUUCAAAUAAGCAGUUAAAGCACGUACACAUGCGAUACUAGACUAAACAAGAUAACUACACAUACUUGAAUAGCUCAAUUAAGAAUGAAAACAAACUAAUACUCAUUUAAACGGUAUAACUCAAAUUAAAGGAAAAACAUGUUGAUACUCAGUAAAAUAAAUCGAGUUUUAUAACAAAUAGCCUGUGUACGUACUCGUCACCUCACGUACACGGCGCUCACAUAUCACAACAGUACCAAAUCCUAAGGGGAUUUCCUCCACACAAGGUUAGGCAAGCCACUUACUUCGAACCAAGCUCAAUCAAUCGGUAUCAAUGCUUUUCCCAUGAAUAUACGACUCUAAAUGGCCCAAAUCUAGCCAAAAUCAGUUACAUACCAUAAAUAUAUCUAUAAGAAACUAAUCUAAUCAAUGAAAUCUAAGCUAAAGUAAGAAAUUAGGAAAUUGUCCCAAAAAGCCUCCCCGGGCUCACGUCUUGGAAUCGGGUAAAAGUCACAAAAUAUGAACACCCAUUCACUCACGAGUCCAACCACAUAAGAAUUACUCGAAUCCGACCUCAGAUCGCCUUUCAAAACUCGAAAUUUUUGUUGAAGAACUUCUUCCCAUUUUCCCCAAUUUUUCAACCCCAAAUCCGAAAUUAAAGAAUUAAUUAAUGAUAGAUUGGUGGGAUAUAACCAAAAUGGAGUGUAGAAUCAUUACCCAAUCGAUGUCUCUGAAAAUUCCUCAAAAUCCCUUCCAAAUCCGAGUUCCCAAACUCAAGUUUUGAUAAAAAUGGUCAAACCCUCGUUUUGAAAUAAUAUAAGGCUGCCCAGCGAUUCUUUAAUCGCGAUCGCGGAAAUAGCCUCGCGAUCGCGAAGAACAACUUCGUUGCCCCAGGAUUUAACCCUACGCGAACGCUUAAAACACCAAGUGAAUGCGAUGUACUGGAUCUCAGACUUACGCGAUCGCGAACGUCCUCACGCAUUCGCGAUGAGCAAAGCGCGUGGCCUAGCUUUAGCCUCAUUAACUCUACGCGAACGCGACCUUGGCCACGUGUUCGCGAAGCACCACUACGCAUUUGCAUCCUUCUUCAUGCGAACACGAAGAGCAAAACUUUCUCUGCCCAGUUAAGCCUACGCGAUUGCGUAUAAGGAAACUAGAUGCACCAGAUCACAAAACUUCAGCCAUUUCUCAAAAUCCAAAACGUAUCCGAUAAUGAUCCAAAACACACCCGAGGCCCCCGGGACCUCAACCAAAGAUACCAACAAGUCCUAAAACACCAUACGAACUUAGUCGAGCCCUCAAAUCACAUCAAACAACGCUAAAAAUACGAAUCAACCUCCGUUUCAAACUUAAUAAACUUUAAACUUCCAGUUUCUACAAACGAUGUCGAAACCUAUCAAACUACGUCCGAUUGACCCCAAAUUUUACACACAAGUCAUAUUCAACCCUACGGACCUACUCCAACUUCCAGAAUCGGAAUCCGACCCCGAUAUCAAAAAGUCCACUACCAGUCAAAAUCUCCAAAUAUUCAAUUUUUGCCAUUUUAAGCCUAAAUGAGCCACAAACAUCCAAAACACAAUCCAGAGAUGCCCCUAAGUCCAAAAUCACCAAACGGAGCUAAAGAAACUGACGGAACUCCAUUCCGGAGUCGUCUUCACAUAGUUCUAACUACGGUAAAAAAAUCCUAAGACUUAAGCUUCCGUUUAGGGACUAAGUGUCCCAAAACACUCUGAAAACACAACCGACACCUCCCGGCAAGACACAUAAGCAGAAAAUGACGCAAGGAAAGCAGUAAACAGGGGAUCGGGGCUAUAACUCUCAAAACGACCGGCCGAGUCGUUACAUCUUCCCUCUCUUAAAAGAGUCGUUCGUCCUCGAACGAGCAUAGAGACAUACCUGAAGUGGUGAAAAGAUGGGGAUAACGGCUGCGCAUAUCCUGCUCGGUCUCCCAAGUCGCCUCAUCGACCGGCUGACCCCUCCAUUGAACCUUCACUGAAGCCAUAUUCUUGGACCUCAGUUUUCGGACCUUCCUGUCCAAAAUAGCCACUGGCUCCUCAACAUAAGAUAGAUCUUUGUCCAACUAGACUGAGCUAAAAUCCAGCACAUGAGACGGAUCACCGUGAUACUUCCGGAGCAUAGAAACAUGGAAUACUGGAUGAACUCCUGCUAGACUGGAAAGUAAGGCAAGGUCAUAAGCAACCUACCUAACAUGCCGCAACACCUCAAAGGGACCAAUGAAACUUGGGGCUCAGCUUGCCCUUCUUCCCGAACCUCAUAAUGCCCUUUAUAGGCGAAACCCGGAACAAGACCCGCUCUCCAACCAUGAAUGUAACAUCCCGAACCUUCGUAUCUGCAUAACUCUUCUGUAUGGACUGGGUUUUGUGAAGUCGAUCCUGAAUCACCUCCACCUUAUCCAGGGCAUCCUGAACCAAGUCUGUACCCAAUAAUCUAGCCUUGCCCGGCUCGAACUAACCCACUGAAGACCGACAUCACCUACCAUACAGAGCCUUAUACGUUGCCAUUUGGAUGCUCGACUGAUAACUGUUGUUGUAAGCAAACUCCGCAGUGGUAAGCACUAAUCCCAAGAACCUCCAAAAUCUAUCACACACGCACGGAGCAUAUCCUCUAAUACCUGAAUAGUGCGCUCGGACUGUCCGUAUGUCUCAGGGUAAAAUGUUGUGCUCAGCUCCACUCGAGUACCCAACUCAUUUUGUACGGCCCUCUAGAACCGUGAUGUAAAUUGCGUACCCCGGUCAGAGAUGAUGGAUACCGGUAUGCCAUGAAGCAUGACAAUCUCACGGAUAUAAAUUUGAGCCAGCUGCUCGGAAGAAUAGGUACUCAUCAUAGAAAGGAAAUGAGCUGACUUGGUCAGCCUAUCCACAAUCACCCAAACUGUAUCAAACCUCCGGUGAGUCUGUGGGCGUCCAACAACGAAAUCCAUAGUGAUCCGCUCCCAUUUCCACUUCGGAAUCUCUAAAUUCUGAAGCAACCCACCUAGCCGCUGAUGCUCAUACUUAACCUGCUGGCAAUUUAGACACCGAGCUAUAUACUACACUAUGUCCUUCUUUAUCCUCCUCCACAGGUAAUGCUGCCUCAAGUCCUGGUACAUCUUUGCGGCACCCGGAUGAAUAGAGUACCGCGAGCUGUGAGCCUCCUGGAGAAUCAACUCACGCAACCCAUCUACAUUGGGCACACAUAGCCUGCCCUGCAUCCUCAAUGCACCAUCAUCCCCAAUAGUGACCUCCUUAGCAUCACCGUGCUGGACCGUGUCCUUAAGGACAAGGAGAUGGGGGUCAUCAUACUGACGCUCCCUGAUACGAUCAUAAAGAGAAGACCGAGAGACCACACAAGCCAAUACUCGACUCGACUAAGAAAUAUCCAAUCUCACAAACUGGCUGGCUAAGGCCUGGACAUCCAACGCCAAUGGCAUCUCUACUGUUGGUAGAUAUGCUAAAAUCCCCAAACUCUCUGCCCGGUGACUCAGAGCAUUACCCACCAUAUUGGCCUUCCCCAGAAUGUACAAAAUGGUGAUAUCAUAGUCCUUAAUUAGCUCAAACCACCUCCGCUGACGCUAGUUAAGAUCCUUCUGUUUGAAUAGAUGCUGCAAACUUCGGUGAUCNNNNNNNNNNNNNNNNNNNNNNNNNAUGUCUGGACGCAUAGGCAAUCACCCUACCGUCUUGCAUCAACACCGCACCGAGACCAAUCCGCGAUGCAUCACAAUAUAAAGUAUAAGACCCCGGACCCGUAGGCAAUACCAAUACUAGGGUUGUAGUCAAAGCUGUCUUGAACUUCUGAAUGUUCUCCUCACACUCCUCUGUCCACCUGAACGGAGCACCCUUCUGGGUUGCCUCUACAAAACGAUGGUAAUAGCCCGCCAAACCAAGAAAACUCCGGAUCUCCGUAGCUGAUGACGGUCUAGGCCAACUCUGCACUGCUUCCACCUUCUUAGGAUCCACAUUGAUCCCAUCACUUGAUACUACAUAAACCAAGAAUGCCAUUGAGUCUAGCCAAAACUCACACUUUGAAAAUUUUGCAUAUAACUUCUUCUCUCAAGGUCUGAAGCACAGUCCUCAGGUACUGCUCAUGAUCCUCCCGAGUCCGGGAGUACACCAGAAUACCGUUAAUAAACACAAUGGCGAAAGAGUCAAGGUAGGGCCGGAACACACUAUGCAUCAAGUGCAUAAAAGCUGUUGGGAUAUCGGUCAGCCCAAAAGACAUCAAAAGGAACUCGUAGUGACCAUACCGAGUCCUAAAAGAACUCUUCGGGAUAUUUGGCUCCCGAAUCUUCAACUGAUGAUAGCCGGAGCAUCAAUCAAUCUUGGAAAACACCCUGACACCCUGUAGCUGAUCAAAUAAAUCAUCAAUACGAGGCAAUGAAUACCUAUUCUUCACAGUAACUUUGUUUAGUUGGCGAUAAUCAAUGCACAUACGCAUAGAACCAUCCUUCUUCUUCACAAACAAGACAGGAGCACCCCCAAGGUGACACACUAGGCCGAAUGAAGCCCUUAUCAAGCAACUCCUUCAACGCAGUAGGAGCCAUACGAUACGGAGGAAUAAAGAUGGGCUGAGUGCCCAGCCAACAAAUCAAUGCCAAAAUCAAAAUCUCUGUCGCGCGGCAUGCCCGGAAGAUCAGCUGGAAACACAUCUGUAAAGUCCCUCACUACUAGGACUGACUCAAUUGUAGGGGCAUCAUUACUAACAUCUCUCACAUAAGAUAGAUACGCGACACACCCCUUCUCAAAUAUUCGUUGAGCUUUAAGGAAUGAAAUAACUCUGCUGGGAGUAUACUCUAAGGUACCUCUCCACUCUAAUCGCGAUAGACCUGGCAUAGCCAGCGUUACGGUCUUAGCGUGACAAUCAAGAAUAGCAUAAUGGGCCGACAACCAGUCUAUGCCCAAGAUAACAUCAAAGUCUACCAUACUAAGCAAUAAUAAAUCGCCUCUGGUCUCAAAACCACUAAGAGCAAUCAAACACGACUGAUACACGCGGUCCACAACAAGAGAAUCUCCCACACGAGUAGACACAUAAAUAGGGGAACUCAAGGAAUACUGAGAUACGCCCAAAUAUGGGGCAAAGUAAGAUGACACAUAGGAAUAGGUAGAGCCUGGAUCAAAUAAUACCGACGUAUCUCUAUGACAGACCAAAACAAUACCUGUAAUGACAAAGUCGGAAACAACUACCUCUGUACGAGCCGGAAGAGCAUAAUAUCUAGCCUGACCUCCCCCUCUAGGGUGACCUCGACCUCCCCGACCUCCACCUUAAGCUGGCUGAGCAGGUGGGGUGGUAGCUGGUGUUGGAAUCAUAGCCCGAGGACCUAGUGGAGCACGCGGUGGCUGAGAAGUCUAUGGAGGUGCACCCCUCCUAAGUCUGGGGCAAUCCAUCACUAUAUGGAGAGUGUCACCACACUCAAAAAAAAGCUCUCGGAGAGUGUGGCUGCUGUGACUGGCUCGGGCCAAGUCUGCUAGACUGACCGCUAAAAGCACCCCGUGCAAGAGGCACACUAGACACUCGCGGUGCAUAAUAAGGCUCCUAAGGCCAAGAAGGGACCUGAAUACUACUAGCAACUGGAAGAGCUGAAUGAACAAGGCGACUCCCAAAGCCCCUACCAUGGAGAACUGCAGCUGGGGCAUGAGUACCACUGUAAGUGCCAGACUCUCGAGACCUCUUGGCCUCCCUCUCAUCUCUAUCUCGAGCGAGCAUUCCCUCCAAUUUCCUAGCAAUACUCACAACCUGCUGGUAAGAAAUAUCCAUCUCUAACUCCCUGACCACACUAAUCCUGAUACUGGGGUGGAGUCCCUUAAUAAACCGACGAACCCUCUCUCGAACUGCGACAACCAUGGCACCCUGGCGCAGCUACUUAAACGAACUGUAUACUCUGACACAAUCAUAGCACCCUGGCGCAGCUACUUAAACUCCGCGCGCCAUGCGUCCCUGAGGCUCUGAGGGACAUACUCUCUCAAAAACAUAUCCGAGAACUAAGUCCAUGUAGGUGAAGCUGCCUCAGCUGGACUACUCAACUCAUAAGCAUGCCACCACUGAAAGGCUGCUCCUCUAAGCUGAAAUGCAGUAAAGGAAACCCCACUCGACUCUGCUACACCCAUAGUACGGAGAAUGCAGUGACACUCCUCUAGAAAAUCUUGGGCAUCCACUAACGCCAAUCCAUUGAAGGUAUGAGGGUGGUACUUCUUGUACCUCUCAAGUUUGAGAUGAUCUGCCUCAGAAACUUCUACCCUAACCUCGGGCUGAGCUGGAGCUACUGGCUGCAUCGGAAAAAUCUCUCAAACCUGGUCGACCUGAACCUGCUGCUCAGGGGUACGGGCUGCGGGAGUUUGUGCUCCUCCCCCGACCUGAGAUGUGGCAGGAGCAAGUGGAAUUAAUCCAGCCUGAGCUAAGGUGCUGAACAUGCUCAGAAAGUGGGCUAGAGUCUCCUGGAGGGCUGGUGAAGCAACAUGUAUCUCAGGUGUCUGCCCUCCAGCUGGAGCUACUGGGGGCUCCUUUAUAACAGCUCGUGAGGGUGCUUUGGCUGCACCGCGUGGACGUCCUCGCCCUCUACCCCGGCCCUGGCCUCUCGCGGCUCUAGCAAGGGGCGCCGGUUCCUGGUCAUCAGAUCCGCCUAUACGUGUCCUUACCAUCUGUGAGAGAAUAGAAUACAAAAGUUUAGAAUUUCGAAGUCAACAAUUUUGUACGAUAAGGAAUCAAAGAAGUGUAAUUUUUCCUAACAGUUCCAUAGCCUCCCGAAGAUAAGUACAAAUGUCUUCGUACCGAUCCACGAGACUCUAAUAAAUCAGCUUGUGACUCACGACACCUAUGAACCUAGAGCUCUGAUACCAACUUGUCAUGACCCAAACUCCCUCCGUAUAAUGUCGUGACGGCACCUAAUCUCUAUGACUAGGUAAGCCUAACAAAUUGCGGGAAAUAAACAAACGAAAGUAAAACUUGGCAACUAAUAACAGUGGAUAAUUGAAUAACUAGUAACAAUGCGGCUUGGCAUGUAAAAUAUCCAAUACUCUAUAAAUACACAAUCUUCCCAAAAUCCGGAACACCAUAAGUCAAAAGCUACAGAAGGAAAAUAACAUCUCUAUACACCAGAGUCUAAUAAAAAGAAUAUAUGAAGUGUUUGACAUAGGGGAGAAUAGAGGGAACUCCUAGGUCUGCGGACACGAAAAAUGUACCUUGAAGUCUUUGUACAGCAGCAGGCACUCUCAGCUAAUAGCGGAGCUGAUAAGAAGUACCUGGAUCUGCACACAAAAAUAUGUAUAGAAGAAUAGCAUGAGUACACCACGACGGAACCCAGUAAGUGCCAAGCCUAACCUCGAUCGAGUAGUGACGAGGUCAGGUCAUGCCCACUGGUAAAUAAUAAAUAAGGCAGGAGAAUAUAUACAGUAUAAUAAGAGACUAGAAUUUAACAAAAGGAAACACUGCAAGGCAACAGUACAACACACAAGGGUAAACAACAGGGGAUCUCCCGAGAUACCGUCUCCUAGUCCCAAAAUAAAUAUGCAGGGAGAACUUCCGAGGUACCGCCUCGUAGUCUCAAAAGUAAAUAUAUAGGAAGAACUCCCGAGGUACCGCCUCGUAGUCUCAAAAGUAAAUAUAUAGGGAGAACUCUCGAGGAACCGUCUCGUAGUCUCAAAAGUAAAUGUGCAAGGAGAACUCCCGAGGAACCGCCUCGUAGUCUCAAAAGUAAACACACAGCUCAACCGAUAAAUACAACAGUUAACAGUAAAAUUUCUACAGUUAUACUGAUAAAGAACAAGGAAAGUAGGAAAUAAACUAGGCAUGCUUCACAGAGUUCAAAUAAGCAAUUAAAGCACGUAGACAUGCGAUAUUAGACUAAACAGGAUAACUACACAUACUGGAAUAACUCAAUUAAGAAUGAAAACAAACUGAUACUCAUUUAAACGGUAUAACUCAAAGAAAAACAGGUUGCUACUCAGUAAAAUAAAUUGGUUUUACAAUAAAUAGCCUGUGUACGUACUCAUCACCUCACGUACACGACGCUCACAUAUCACAACAACACCAAAUCCUAAGGGGAUUCCCCCCCCCCUCCCCCCUCCCCACAAUGUUAGGCAAGCCACUUACCUCGAACCAAGCUCAAUCAAUAGGAAGCAAUGCUUUUCCCAUGAAUAUCCAACUCUGAAUGGCCUAAAUCUAGCCAAAAUCAAUUACAUACCAUAAAUAUAUCUAUAAUCAAUGAAAUCUAAGCUAAAGCAAGAAAUUAGGAAAUCGUCCCAAAAAGCCUCACAGGACCCACAUCUCGGAAUCGGGUAAAAGUCACAAAAUAUGAACACCCAUUCACUCAUGAGUUCAACCAUAUAAGAAUUACUCAAAUCAGACCUCAGAACGUUUUUCAAAACUCAAAAUUUUAGUUGAAGAACUUCUUCCCAUUUUUCUCAAUUUUUCAACCCAAAUCUGAAAUUAAAGAAUUAAUUAAUGAUAGAUUAGUGGGAUAUAACCAAAAUGGAGUGUAGAAUCAUUACCCAAUCGAUGUCUCUGAAAAUCCCUCAAAAUCCCAUCCAAAUCCGAGCUCCCAAACUCGAGUUUUGAUAAAAAUGAUCAAACCCUCGUUUUGAAAUGAUAUAAGUCUGCCUAGUGAUUCCUUAAUCGCGAUCGCGGAAAUAGCCUCGCGAUCGCGAAGAACAACUUCGCUGCCCUAGGAUUUAACCCUACGUGAACGCGUAAACACCAAGCGAACGCGAUGUACUGGCUCUCAGACUUACGCGAUAGCGAACGUCCUCACGCGUUUGCGAUGAGCAAAGCGCGUGGCCCAACUUUAGCCUCCUUAACUCUAUGUGAACGCGACUUUGGUCACGCAUUCGCGAAGCACCACUACGCGUUCACAUCCUUCUUCCCGCGAACGCUAAGAACAAAACUUCCUCUACCUAGCUAAGCCUACGCGAUCUCGGCCCCUCUCUCGCGACCGCGUAUAAGGAAACCAGAUACAACAGAUCACAGAACUUCAGCCAUUUCUCUAAGUCUAAAACGCAUCCGAUAAUGAUCCGAAACACACCCGAGGCCCCCAGGACCUCAACCAAGAUACCAUCAAGUCCUAAAACACCAUACAAACUUAGUCGAGCCCUCAAAUCAUAUCAAACAAUGCUAAAAACACGAAUCACCCUCCGAUUCAAACUUAAUAAACUUGAAACUUCCAAUUUCUACAACCGAUACCGAAACAUAUCAAACCACGUACGACUGAUCCCAAAUUUUGCACACAAGGCAUAUUCAAACCUACGGACCUACUCCAACUUCCGGAAUCGGAAUCUGACCCCGAUAUCAAAAAGUCCACUACCGGUCAAAUUCUCCAAAAAUUUGACUUUCGCCAUUUCAACCCUAAAUGAGCUCCAGACCUCCAAAACACAAUCCGGACAAGCCUCUAAGUCCGAAAUCACCCAACGGAGCUAACGGAACCGACGAAAUUCCAUUCCAGAGUCGUCUUCACACUGUUCCGACUACGAUCAAAAAUCCUAAGACUUAAACUUCUGUUUAGGGACUAAGUGUCCCAAAACACUCCCAAACCACAAACAACACCUCUCGGCAAGACACAUAAGCAGAAAAUGACGCGGGGAAAUCAGUAAACAGGGGAUCAGGGCUAUAACUCUCAAAAUGAUCGGCCGAGUCGUUACACUUAAGAUAUUUUAAUUUUUACAUUCGAUGCUGAAACCUAUCAAAUCAAGUCCGAUUGAUCUCAAAUUUUGCGCACAAGUUAUAAAUGGCAUAACGGGCCUAUGAAAAUUUUUAAAACUAGAUUCCGACCCCAAUAUCAAUAAAAUUUAAUUUGUGGUCAAAUUUUGAAAUCUUUAAGCCCUUAAGUUUCUAGUUUUCGUCAACUGGCGAUAAUUCAAGUUAGGGACCUCCAAAUUAAAUUUCGGGCAUACGCCCAGGUCCCAAAUCACGAUGUGGACCUACCGGAACUGUCAAAACACUGAUUUGAGUCCGUUUCCUUAAAAUAUUGACCAAAGUCAACUAAGUUGAGUUUUAAAGCUCUCUUUCAUAUUUUAAUCUAUUUUUCACGUAAAAACUUUUUGAAAAAUUAUCCGGACAACACAUGCAAGUCGAGGAAAGCUAAAUAGUGGUAUUUGAGGUUUUAGAACACAUAUAUAAUGGCAUGAUAAUCCUGCUGAUACCUAUAGCUCGCUGGGCGGGCAGUGGAGCAACUGGUGCCGGUAUGAUGGCAUGAGAAUCCUGUUGAUAUCUGUAGCUAGAUAACCUAGGGCAAUACCUCCUGAUGUGACCAAUGUUCCCACACUCAUAACACUCAUCCUUUUGUCGUGGCUGCCGAAGCUGAAGCAGACUCGAAUGGGUCGGAUAACUGCCAUAGUGACUUUAGAGCGGUGGUGCACUGAUUGGAGCUGGAUGUGCACUAAAUAUCGGCUGCCCAGAGUAAGGCAUAAUAGGACCAUGACUCCCAGAAGCACCGGGAGAUGCCUGAAAUGCUGAAUAAAAUGGCCUAGGAGGAUGACCCCUGCCAUAAGUACCCCUGCUUCCAUAUGGGGUGCCUCUGAAAUUACCGGAAUGACUGGGAUUUUAUCUGACACUGGCCCUCUCUCCUGUGAAAGAACCAUCUUGAUCCGCCUGGCGACAUUAGCAUCCGUCUGGAAAAAAUCUCACUCCCGGUCUCCUUGGCCAUAUGUAGAUUGAUAGGUUGAACGAGUCCAUCAAUGAACCUCCUCACCCUCUCUCUCUCGGUAGGAAGCAAAAGAAGAGCAUGACGGGCUAGAUCAAUAAAACGGGUCUCAUAUUGAGUGACUAAUAUACUGCCAUGUUGGAGACGCUCAAACUGCUUAUGGUAAUCCUCUCUCAAUGUAAUAGGGAUGAACUUCUCUAGAAAUAGCCGUGAGAACUACUCCCAAGUAAGUGCAGGCGAACCAAUUGAUAUAGUAAAUACGUAAUCUUUCCACCACCUCUUGGCGGAACCAGUUAUGUGAAACACAACAAAAUCAACCCCAUUACGUGUUCUCGCCGUCUGCGAGAGAAUAAGAAUAGAAUGGUUCAAUCAUCUAUGAUAGAAUAAAAUAGCACGACAGAAUAAGAAAGAAGUGAUAUUGUUCCUAAACUUCAUAGCCUCUAAGAGAUAAGUACAGACGUCUCCAUACAGAUCUUUCAGACUCUACUAAGCUUGCUCGUGACUCGUGAGACCUAAGUAACCUAGGGCUCUGAUACCAACUUGUCACGACCCAAAAUUUCCAUCUUCGGGGUCGUAAUGGCGCAUAAUAUUUUACUUGCUAGGCAAGCCAACGUUAGAAUAAUAUUAGUUAUUUUUAAAUAAUUUAAAAUUAAUUAAUAACAAAGAAACAAAUGCGGAAGUAAUGUCUGAAAUAUAGCGAAUAAUCUAUAAUAAUAGCGAUGCUAAAUACCAUCCCAGAACUGGUGUCACAAGUGCACGAGCUACUAGAACAAUACAAAUAAAGGUCUGAAUGAAAAUGAUAUUAUCUGAAAGAAAUACACAACUACAAAGAGUGGAAGGGGACUUCAGAACUGCGAACGCUAUGAAAUUAUAACUGAAUCCGAGCAAAUCUACUAUACACCACUGGGACCAACUCCGGUAUCUGCACAAGAAGUGCAGAAUGUAGCAUGAGUAUAACCGACCCCAUGUACCCAAUAAGUGCCGAGCCUAACUUCCACGAAGUAGUGACGAGGCUAAGGCAUGUCACUUACAUUAACCUGUACACAAUUAUAAUAAUAACAACAAUAAUAAAAAUAAAACGGGGAUCUCAUUUCAACAGUUGAAGCCAACUCGGCAGUCAUAACCAAUUAUUAUUUCAAUCAGUUUCCGUUACGGCGUGCAACCCGAUCCCACAAUAUAUUCAUAUUCAAUUCCGUUGCGGCGUGCAACCCGAUCUCACAAUAUAUUCAUAUUCAAUUCCGUUGCAGCAUGCAACCCGAUCCCAAUAUAUCUUUUCAAUCAAUUCUAUUGCGGCGUGCAACCCGCUCCCCCAAUAUAUUCAUUUCAAUCAAUUAUGUUGCGGCGUGCAACCCGCUCCUCCANNNNNNNNNNNNNNNNNNNNNNNNNNNNNNNNNNNNNNNNNNNNNNNNNNNNNNNNNNNNNNNNNNNNNNNNNNNNNNNNNNNNNNNNNNNNNNNNNNNNNNNNNNNNNNNNNNNNNNNNNNNNNNNNNNNNNNNNNNNNNNNNNNNNNNNNNNNNNNNNNNNNNNNNNNNNNNNNNNNNNNNNNNNNNNNNNNNNNNNNNNNNNNNNNNNNNNNNNNNNNNNNNNNNNNNNNNNNNNNNNUAGACACUCGUCACCUCGCCUAUACGUCGUUCACAUGAAUUUCACAUAACAAAUAAUUCAAGGGUUCUAUUCCCUCGAGUCAAGGUUAACCACGACACUUACCUCGCUUGGCAACCAAAUUCAAGAUUCUAAUAAACCUUUGCCUCGCGAAUUCGUGUCCGGAAGCUUCAAAUCUAGUCACAACAAUUCAAUAUACUCAAUACGAAUCGUAGGAAUUAAUUUCAUAUGAAAUUGCUAAUUUUUCGGAUUAAAAUCCGAAAUUUAUUUUAAAAAUUGACAGUGGGACCUACAUCUCGAAUCCCGAAAAAACUCACGAAAUCCAAACAGCAGUUAUGAUAUGAGUUCAACCAUACAAAAUUUAUCGAAGUCCGACAUCGGAUUGACCUUCAAAUCUUCAUUUUACUUUUUUGGAAGAUUUUAUAAAAAUCUGAUUUUUCUUCCAUAAAUUCACAGAUUCAUGAUGUAAAUGAAUAUGAAAUCAUGAAAUAUAAUCAAUAUAGGUUAAGGAACUCCUACCCCAGUGUUUACCCAUGAUAAUUGCCCAAAAAUCGCCUUACCCGAGCUCAAAAUUGUGAAUAAUGAAAAAUGGGACGAAAUCCCAUUUCGAGAACUUAAGUUCUGCUGUCUAGGGAUUUCUUCUUCGCGACUGGGAGGGCAGUCUUGCGAAGGUCAUGCUUUGCCAAGCUUGGCCUUCGCGAACGCGAAGCCUUAUCGCCUGGUGCCUAGCCAGGUCUCGCCCUUCUACGCGAACGCGGACACUCCCACGCGUUCGCGAUGAACACUGCACAUUAUCCUUCGCGAACGCGAAAAGUAAAUUUCGUUUGCCUCCAGUUCCUCUUCGCGAACGCGAGACCCUUCUCACGAACGCGAAGAAGGAAACUAGACAAUGCAUCAGAAAAGUUCCAGCAAAGUUUCAAGUCCAAAAUUAAACCCGUUAACCAUCCGAAACUCACCCGAGGCCGCAAGGACCUCAACCAAAUAUACUAACAAGUCCUAAAAUAUCAUAUGAAUUUAGUCAAAAUCUCAAAUUACAUCAAACAAUGCUAAAACCGCGAGUCAUACUCCUAUUCAAGCUUAAGGAACUUAAGAAUCUUCAACUUCUACAUUCGAUGCCGAAACCUACCAAUCAAGUCCGAUUGAACUCAAAUUUUGCGCACAAGUCAUAAAUGGCAUAGCGGACCUAUAAAAAUUUUCAGAACUGAAUUCCGACCCCGAUAUCAAUAAAAGCCAAUUUGUGAUCAAACUUUAAAAUCUUUAAGCCUUUAAGUUUCUAGUUUUCGUCAACUGGCGAUAAUUCAAGUUAGGGAUCUCCAAAUUAAAUUUCGGGCAUACAUCCAAGUCCCAAAUCACGAUACGGACCUACCGGAACUGUCAAAAUACUGAUCCGAGUCCGUUUGCUCAGAAUGUUGACCAAAGUCAACUCAGUUGAGUUUUAAACCUCUAUUUCACAUUUUAAUCCAUUUUUCAAAUAAAAACUUUUCGAAAAAUUAUACGGACAAUGCACGCAAGUCGAAGAAAUCUAAAUGGUGCUAUUUGAGGUUUUAGAAUACAUAAAUAAUAUUUAAAAUUAAAGAUAACAUAUUGGGUCAUCACAGAUUGAAUCCCAUGAAUGCUGGAAAUAUCAAAGGUGAAUGUGGGCCCAUUCACCUGCAAUGUAUACCACAUAAAAUACAUCUAUGUGAUGGUUACAUGUGCGAUUAUUAUUAACCCGCAACCUGAUGUUUGCGAGGUAACUUGCUCAAUAAUUUAAUUUCGAACAUAAUUUCUAUAUUUUCUAUUCAUGACAGUUCAUCUUGAUAAAUUGGUUUACAUCUCAACUAGUUUAGUAAAAUAAUUUAUUGAGUGCCUCGACUUAAUUGUUAAACUAUUGCUUAUGAGAAUAAAGUUAUAUAUAUUAGUUUGAUAUACGUUAUAUAUAAAAGUAUUAUUUCAUUCUCCCCUCACNNNNNNNNNNNNNNNNNNNNNNNNNUAAACGUGGGUUUCCAAAGUUGAGGAAGCAAGUUAAUUUUUCUAACAUGAGGGGGAGACACGAUAAAUAUGUGAGAAAAAGUUACGUAGAAUGAAUUAUAAUUUCUACAUCUAGAUCAUCGAAUAAGACAAUAUGAACUUGAAGUUCAUAAAAAGAUAAUUCAUAUGCAAUAUAUUGCAAAGCAUGUCACACGCAUUUGCGGACCCAAAGAAAGUAAUUCUAUUCUCACUGUAAAUCCUCCUAUUAGAAUAAGUCCUAGAAGGGCAAAGUCUACGGUACGCUUAAAGCCUACAGACAAAUCGGUUUCAAAUAAAAAUUUUUAUAAAGAAGAUGAGCAAAUGAUCAUAAUAAAUAGACAAGUGAUCUAGAAGAUCACAUGACAUAACACUUCAUAAAGGCUCAAGAGAGGUUCAGGUACUUGAAAAUAUGAAUGAAGAGAUUUAUAUGUUAUGUCUUUCUAAAAAAUGAGGUUGGAACCGAUAUAAAACGUUCGUCGACGACAUCUAUGAUAGCGCUAAGUAUAGAUGAGGAUCUUAAGUCUGUCGAAUACAGACACAAAAAUAUUGGCUAAAUGGAAGAGACAAAAUUCGAAUAAAAUUGGUUUCAUAUGAAAGACGUGUAGUUUUGGACAUGCAGUUCAAUCACUUAAAAGUAUAAAGUCAAUGAUAUUGAAAUAACGAUUCCAACAAGAUCAUAUGAAGAAUACAUCUCUAUCAAGAAUGAUGAUUUCAAGGUGCAACAUAUUCAUUCAAGUUAAUAUGGAUGAUUUGUUUAUCAAAUCUCUACCAAAGGAAUUAUGAAAAUCAACAUCAUUUGCGCAAUCAAGAUUCUCCCCAUGAGCAGUCGACACAUAAUAAUUUUCCAUAAAUCCCCUUUUAAAAAGAUGACAUGUAACAACAUCUUCUCCCAAUAACUAACGCACUUGCAUUUCACACAAGGGCACCUAAUCGUUCCUUCAAUACGAAAAUCAUCAAGUGUCCUUGCCUUAGAAAUAAAUCCAGCAACCCCUUCUUUAAGUUCAUCCUUUAACCCCACACGAUUAGGAUGAUUCCUAUUAUACAUCCAUCUACGAUGCGCAAAUGUCAUCUACACAAAGUUAAAAAGCUAGAAGUUUGACAUAUUUAUUUUAUUUAUACUAGUUACUAAGUUAUAUUUUUCCAAAGGUUAUCUAAAUAGUUUAAUUAUAUAUUUUUCUAUAGUACUUGGGUGGUUUCAAUAUUAAUAGGUACAUUAAACUAUUGUAAGACAAAAAAGUCCUAAAACAUAUAAAUUCAUCUAAUUUAUUUCAAAUUAGUAUAUGGUAGCGCUUUAAUGCUUAAUUGACUGCAUUUUCUUCAUUUCGUUCCAAUAAUAAAUAACAUAAUUAACACAUAGAUAGGCCGUGGAGAAUUUUCAAAUGAAAAGCCGAAACAGAGAAGUAUUAGCACUUAAGUUGUUUCUUAACUAACCUAACUUGAAUGUAUAAAAUUUUUAACUCUUUAAAAUAUUGUUCAACUCUAACAGAGAAGUAUUAGCACUUAAGUUAUUUUUUAUAUAAACAAGAAUUCCAUAAUUGUAGAAAAUACCCAAAUUAUUAUAAAAAAUUUCUUGAUUUACUAUUGUAUACAUACAAGUAUACUAGCCACUUUCACAAGAACAUCUAACUAAAAUUAUCCAUACUAUAUCUAAUUUAUACAUACUAAAUUGCUAAAAGUAUAAGUAAACAUUGUUAGUGUAUCUAAUUUAUACAUACUAAAAACAACUAGAAAAUGCUAAAAAUUUAAAAAAAAAAAGAAGAAACUUUCCACAGUAAAUCUGAAAUCCUUAAACCGUAUGAAACCCAAGAAAGAAGAAGACAAUUACUAGCAAAAACAAUUACCUUAUACUAAAGUCACCAGAUUUACUUUACCGGAGAAAUUGUUGGACCACCACAGGAGAGGAGAAGAGCCGCCAGAUUCACUGCAAAAAAAAAGAGUUAAACAAAUUGGGGCAAAAACAAUUAUGGGGAAGGGGAUGGGGCUAGACGGGGGAGGAGGACUGGACGGGGGACGGGGGCUGGGAGAGGGAGAGGGAGAGGGAGAGUGAGAGAGAGGGAAUUACUUACCUUGUAUUGAGAGACGAAGGAAAAUAGAUCGAGUGGGAGAAGAAGAGAAGAGGGGAUGAGAGGAAUAAAAAAUAGAGAAGAAAGAAUAAAGAAGGAAAAACGGAUUUGAGGGGCUGUAUAAAAGCAUUUGUGAUCGAUCCGGUUGUAAUUUAUAAUUUUAAAAUUGCGAUCAAAUCGAUCACAAAUGCCUUGACCAGUUAAACUCAAUUUUUUAGCAUUUUCGACCAAAUUGAUCGGAACAUUUAUUUUAAUUUUUUAAUUUUUGCGACUGACUCAGUCGAAAUUCCAAAAUUAUAUUUUUGCGGCAUUUUUCACGUAAUUGAUCGACGGAAAUGGUCGAAUUUUGGAGGCAAAAAUUAUUAAAUAAAUAAAAAUAUAAUUUUAAUUAUAUUUUUGAUCGAAACGGUCAGAAAUUCCGACUGCCUUUUUUCGGUCGGAAUUUUUCAAUCAAAAAUUUGCUUUUUUUUUUUUAAAGUAGUGACAAUACAUCUCCAUCAAGAAUGAUGAUUCGGGUGCAACAUAUUCAUUCAAGUUAAUAUGGCUGAUUUGUUUAUCAAAUCUCUACCAACGAUAUUUUGAAGGUGAUACACAAGAUUGAAAUGCAAAGACUCAAAUAUCUGACUAAUGUUCUCGUCAGUUAAUACGCGUUGUAUUCUUUUUUUUCAUAUAAGGUUUUGUCCCACUGAGUUUCCUUGCAAUAAAAAAUUUCUCACUCUACUUUUCUUUGCAAUACUCUUUUCGAAAAAAAUUAAUCAUUUUUAGGUCAGCUUAUUUUAUAUUGUUGUUGUUAUUACCAGUGUUUUAAAAGAUAUUUUUGGGAAUCGCCCGGGGCUCGCCUCUGGGCGGGUCACUUGCAAAACACCCUGGGGCUCAUGUAUGGGGCUUAGUUCUGUGAGCCUUACGCCCCAAGCGCCCGACCAUGCGCCCUAAACACGCCUAAUGCCCAAAGGGGCUCGCCUAACAGUUCUAACGCAAAUCACAUGUCGAAUUUCCUAAUUAAUAUAGUUGACCUUCAAAAUUAUUUAACAAAUUAAUGAUAAAACUUCUAUUCAUCGAUAGAAAUAUGAAGAUUGAGNNNNNNNNNNNNNNNNNNNNNNNNNNNNNNNNNNNNNNNNNNNNNNNNNNNNNNNNNNNNNNNNNNNNNNNNNNNNNNNNNNNNNNNNNNNNNNNNNNNNNNNNNNNNNNNNNNNNNNNNNNNNNNNNNNNNNNNNNNNNNNNNNNNNNNNNNNNNNNNNNNNNNNNNNNNNNNNNNNNNNNNNNNNNNNNNNNNNNNNNNNNNNNNNNNNNNNNNNNNNNNNNNNNNNNNNNNNNNNNNNNNNNNNNNNNNNNNNNNNNNNNNNNNNNNNNNNNNNNNNNNNNNNNNNNNNNNNNNNNNNNNNNNNNNNNNNNNNNNNNNNNNNNNNNNNNNNNNNNNNNNNNNNNNNNNNNNNNNNNNNNNNNNNNNNNNNNNNNNNNNNNNNNNNNNNNNNNNNNNNNNNNNNNNNNNNNNNNNNNNNNNNNNNNNNNNNNNNNNNNNNNNNNNNNNNNNNNNNNNNNNNNNNNNNNNNNNNNNNNNNNNNNNNNNNNNNNNNNNNNNNNNNNNNNNNNNNNNNNNNNNNNNNNNNNNNNNNNNNNNNNNNNNNNNNNNNNNNNNNNNNNNNNNNNNNNNNNNNNNNNNNNNNNNNNNNNNNNNNNNNNNNNNNNNNNNNNNNNNNNNNNNNNNNNNNNNNNNNNNNNNNNNNNNNNAUAUAUUAUUUAAUUUUUAUGUAAUUUUACCUGUUUAUAAAUAUUUAUUAUUAUUAUAUUAUUUUAUAAAAUAUUAAAAAUUUAAUACCUAUGAGCUUACGCCUCGCUGAGUCAUAUGUAAAACGCGUUGACUUACGUACACGCCUUUUAAAACACCGGUUAUUACCCGAUUUAGCUUGCGGAGCAGAUCAGGUAAGGAGAUAAGGUUACAGAGUUUACAUUUUUGCCCUAGAAUAUAAAUUUGGACUGGGGGUAAAUCUGGCUUUUAGCCAAAUCUUACAGUUCGUCAGUCGAUUCCAGUUACUCCAUUUCUUCCAGUUCCUUGCCGCUUCCGCCGUGGUUCCCGCCGGCGUUCGUGUUCGUUUUCUCCGGCCACCUCUUCGAGCCAAGGUCUUUUUUUUCUAGGCUGUGUAGAUAUUUGAAGCUUACUGUGUUAUUUUGGCUGAUUUACGUGUCCAGUGGGCUCUGCUCGCUAUUGUUGUAUGCCUCAAUCCCAAAGUAGUUCGUUUAGCUGUAUAAUUUCUCUAUAUUUAUUCAGCUAUGCCUCAAUCCCAAACUAGUUCGUUUAGCUAUAUAUUUUCUCUAUAUCUAUUCCGCUGUAUCGGGCUCAUUUCAUGUGCUGUGCUGAUUAUAUGGGAUAAUUUUUCAAUUCUGAUAUCUGAUUUAUUUUACUGUGAUUUCGCGGAACUUCAAAGAUUGGUGUAUUACUUGAGACGCCUGAAAUCGUGUACUGAGCCAGUGGGCAAAAAGUCAUGGUAUUAAUGUGUUAUUUCCUUUAGGAACUAAUUUAGUAACAAUAAUAAUUUAACACUAAUUUUGGUAGUUUUUCUCAAAUAAGCUACGCUUUUGUCUCAAUAACAAGUCCCACAUGUUAUAAUCUAUGUUACAUGGACUCAAUUAUGGGUACAUGUUACGGGAAUUUAUCAUGAUAUUGGCUAGUUUUAUGCUGGAUGCCAGUUUCCCGCAACACUCCUCCUUUAUUCGGGCUUGAGACAUGCUAUAGCAAGCUCUCACAUGGUCAGUGAGGAUCAUAUAGCUGAUCCCAACUUGUUUGGGACUAAGGCUUAGUUGUUAUUGUAUAUGGGUACAUUAGUUUUUUUUCCCCACUAUUUUUAAUUUAUUUCGAAAAAUCUUCAUGCGGUACUUGUUCGAUAUGGAUAUAUGAUAUAUCUAGGCAAAUGAAAGAUCCAUGUAAUAUAGGGUAUAAUUUCUAUUCACAGAGUAUUUGAUGAAUUGGAUCCUGCUGUCAGCUUGUAAUAUUGUUUUUAUUGGUGAGAACUGCUAAUAGAAAUCCUCUUACCGACUGCACUAUGAGUUCGAGUAUCAUGCCUUAUUUUUACCACUUUAAUGAAAAUCUAAGUGGUUCAGAACCUUCAUGACACUUUUAGAUUCUUUUUUAUUUUGUUUUCAGUUUUGUGUUUUUGCCUUCGUAUCCUUAUGCUUUCUUUCUUUUUCUGCAACAUUGGAUGUUUUAUACAGCUUGCAGUGAUUGUGCAUUAUUGGCUGCAUAUAGCAUGUGAAGAUGGUGUUAUCAUACGUAAUCCGAUAUUUUUAGAAUUGGAAAAUGCCUGAGAUAACAAGCACAGCAAAAGAAAUAUCUGAAAAUGGGACAGAUUCUUCUCAGGAUGAUAUUGGCACUGUUGAGGAAAUGCCUGAGGACAUAAUCUUAUCACGACAAACAUCGGUGAACCUCGUCCCUUUCAUUGGCCAGAGAUUUGUAUCACAGGAUGCUGCAUAUGAAUUUUACUGUAGCUUUGCAAAGCAAAGUGGCUUUUCAAUCAGACGUCAUCGUACGCGGGGGAAAGAUGGCGUUGGUAGGGGGAUUACAAGAAGAGAUUUUACGUGCCAUCGUGGUGGCUAUCCACAACUAAAGCCUUCAGAAGAUGGCAAGCUGCAAAGGAAUCGAAAAUCAUCGCGUUGUGGAUGUCAGGCGUUCAUGAGAAUUGUUAAACGAGCAGAUUUUAAUGUCCCUGAAUGGCGGAUCACAGGUUUCAGCAAUGUUCAUAACCAUGAACUCUUAAAGUCAACUGAGGUGCAGCUUGUUCCUGCCUACUGCACCAUGUCUCCUGAUGACAAGAGUCGCAUUUGCAUGUUUGCGAAAGCUGGGAUGUCAGUUCGGCAAAUGCUAAGGUUGAUGGAGCUAGAGAAGGGAGUUAAGUUGGGUUGCUUACCCUUCACAGAGGUUGAUGUCAGAAACUUGCUGCAAUCUUUUAGAAAUGUGGACCAAGACAAUGACCCUAUUGACCUCCUCAAAAUGUGCAAGGAGAUGAAAGACAAAGACCCUAACUUCAAAUACGACUAUAAAAUAGAUUGUAAUAACAGGUUGGAGCAUAUUGCCUGGUCUUAUGCUUCAUCAAUGAGGUUGUAUGAGGCUUUUGGUGAUUCCAUAGUAUUUGACACUACUCACCGCUUGGAUGCCUAUGAUAUGCUUCUUGGGAUAUGGAUCGGAGUGGAUAACCAUGGAAUGCAUUGUUUCUUUGGCUGUGUACUCCUUCGUGAUGAAAAUUUGCAGUCUUUCUCCUGGGCAUUGAAGGUACGAAGCCAUGCAAUCAUGUCACUAUACCAUUAUACCAAUCCCAUGUAUAAAGUAUUAAUCCUAAUUUGCCAGUACCCAAAAAGCUUUAAGUGUUUGAAAUGCCUAUUCAUGUGCCUAACAACAGGAGUCCGCGAGAGUGCCCAGAAAAUACUGAUGAAACUAGUGCAAAAAAGUGGAGUUCACUCCUGCUGUUAUUUACUACUACUUCAUAUGUUAAAAAAGGAAAAAUGAAUUAUCAGAUGUUAAGGAGCUACUUCAAAUAACUGGGCAAACUGGUGGCAAAGGAAAUUAUUAAACUAAUUGUUGCAAUUAGUGUGAAAGCAUAUUAUCUAAUAAGUUCAUCAGAUUAGAGUCUAAAACUUGAGUUAUAUUAAGAGAGUGGUUUCGACUGUACCCAAGAACUAAAAAUCAUAAAAAGACAAGAGAGUAUGUUGCAAGCUAGUUGGAAGAUCUCUUGCUUAACAACAUUAAUGACUUUUUGUCAGCUUGCACUUUAAUAUUUGCGUCGCUUUGCCUUACCGUAAUGAUGAUUCUUCACCUUCGUUUUGUGAUCUUUCUUUGGAUUUCCUCUUUUCUGUUUAAUGGUUGAUAACGCAUUUCUUUAUAUCUUUUUACCAAUCUUCCCCCUUCUUAUCCUUACCUGUAUAUAUGUUUGUUACGGGCAUCAGGUCAAACCAUCUCAGGUCAAUUCUGGUAUCAUAAGCAACUAGCUUAGCAACAACAACUGCAGAUAUCUUAAACGCAUCUUUCAAUCCAUAGCUUGCAACUCCCUUGGUUCCAUAUGCUAAUAUGAAAUCUUUUUUUGUUUUACUUCGUUUCUCCCAAAUUGGUGAUAGACAUUCUUGGGCUCCAUCAACGGCAAGGCUCCAGGAACCAUUUUGACUGAUCAGAAUUUGUGGCUCAAAGAAGCAAUUGUCACUGAAAUACCAAGGGCAAAACAUGCAUUUUGCAUUUGGCAUAUAAUUUCGAGGUUUUCAGAUUGGUUUUUGACACUUCUCGGAUCCCAAUAUGAUAAUUGGAAGGCUGAGUUCCAUCGCCUCUACAAUUUACAUUCUAUAGAGGAAUAUGAAGUGGGAUGGAAUGAGAUGGUCAAAACCUACAAGCUGGAUGAAAAUAAACACAUUGUCAGUCUAUAUGCUUUACGUUCAUACUGGGCGCUGCCUUUUUUGAGAUCUUACUUCUUUGCUGGAAUGACAAGUACAUUUCAGUCAGAGACAAUAAAUACUUAUAUCCAGAGGAUUUUGAGCGUGCAAUCUGUACUUGAUAAUUUUGUGGAGCAGGUGUGAGAUUCUCACUUACCUUUUGUUACUUAAACAGUUUAAUUAUUUGCUCAUUUGAUUCUUCUCCAAUUUUUUACUGACAACUGUACAUAUGCAGGUUGCUCGGGUUGUAGGCGCUAAAGAUCAAGCAGGAGGAAAACAUAAGGUACAGAGAAAUGUUCAAAAUGUUCCCCUGAAAACAGGUUCACCGAUAGAGUCGCAUGCUGCAACUGUUCUUACACCGUAUGCCUUCUCAAAACUACAAGAGGAGCUUGUUUUGGCACCACAAUAUGCGUCACUGAUGGUAGAUGAAAGUUACUUCAUCGUGAGACACCAUACAGAAAUGGAUGGUGGUUAUAAAGUAAUCUGGGUUCCGCAUGAAGAGUUCAUUAGCUGUAGCUGCCAUAAUUUUGAGUUUACUGGUAUUCUCUGUAGGCAUGUGCUACGUGUGCUGUCAACAAACAACUGUUUUCACAUUCCGGACCAAUAUCUGCCCACACGCUGGCGUGAAUGUUCCUCCUCUUUGGCUAAGCCUGCCCUCUUUAGUUUACCAAGUGAUAAUACAGGAAAAAUUCAGUUAUUGCAGUCUAUGAUUUCUACACUGAUUACUGAAUCAGUUGAAACCGAAGAACGCCUCAAUGUUGUUUGUGAUGAAGUUUCUACGGUUUUAUCUCGCAUUAAGGGGUUCCCGACAGCAUCCACUGGGGGUAAUGCUAUUGCAUAUGAGAGCCCAUCAGACUCGCUGAUUCUCGCAGAGGUUGAGGAUUCUGAUGGUAUUGGUCAAAGCUUCGCUUGUAAUCCUCACGAGUAUAUAAACUUGGCAAAGUUGAAAGAGAGAGGAUCAAGAGAUGGACUGGAUCUUUACAGGAAGAGGGGGCAUCUUUCCGUCUUAUGUUGUGGGCAAUAUGGCCAUGAUGCAAGUGAUUGUCCAAUGAUGGAAGGUGAAGAUUUGAAUGGAGAUAGACUUGGCUUUUUAUAGUAAAGGUUGCGAAAUGGGCUAGCACUUUGAGGAAAUAGGAAAUGUGAACCAACCUCUCUGUUCAUAAGCUGACAAUUCCCCCCUGUCAAUGCAAAUCUUUUACACCCUUAAACAUUUGUUAUCCAGGAAAUCGACUCUAACAUGGCUGGAAUACACUUUCUGACCAACAGUCUUCUCUGUAACAAAUGGAGGACCUUCUUUCAGUCACCAAUGAAGGAAGCAUUCUUAUUUCUGUCCUACCAACCCCAACUCCUAAAAGAAGAAGAAAAAAGGAGCAUUUAAGAUGUACCACUAUGAUUCUCACGCAUGACGCCUCAAUGGGGAAAACAGAGAAGCGAGGUUAGAUGGUAUAAUAUUGGGUUUUAUUUGAAAUACAACUGCGCAGGAUACACGUGACUCUUUUCUCUCUUUUGGUCUUUUCCCCUUCGUACUCUGACCAUGGCAUUCUGCGUCUGUUUCCAGAAGUGUUCUAUGGCACAAGUGACUAAUGUGUGAAAACAUAGGUCUACAUUCCACUAGUUUGAGUUCUAUUCUAAGCAUAUCAAGUGUAGGUUUUAAUUAAAUACUUGUAUUUGGUUCAAACAACAGUUACAAGACUACCUAUAGGAUGUGAUACAAAAUGGUUAGACUGGUACUUGAGAUGCCAUAAUCUGAUGAAAGGAAACAUUCUAGUCAUUUUGACCUUCAUCAGCCAAGGAAACUUUGCUUAGUCUGCUGGGCAAUGUCUUAAGAUCGUUCAUGUUCCUCACUUUUCUGGCUCUUCCUCGGCGGCUGCUUGAACCAAAUAUGGCUCUAUGUGCCAAUGCUUUUCCCAACAGCCGAUACUCAGCCCUGGAAACCUUUCUGUGAUCCUGCUCCCUUGUCUCGCCAUCAUCACACUGCUCUUGGAAGCUGCUGCUGUUGUAGGUUUCAGAAACUUCACAGAUUGCUUUGUCAGUGGCCAUUAUAUUACAACACAAAAGGAGGACUAGGGUGGUGGUGUGAAGGAAAUCGAGAAGUGUGUGAACUUUUUAUAUGUGACCCUUCUGGCUUAGUGGGAAUAAUUGUUAGUAAAAGACUUGGGGACAAAAGACAUAUGAAUGGGGAUGGUUAAGUUGGGUCGUUAGUGGUGGCAUGAAAAGGUAAAGUUGGAGGAGUUUGGAAGCAAAGUUUCAUGUAGCCGAAAGGUUGCUCCUUACGCAAAUCCUUUUUCACCUAUCCAUGCAUUCAUCAAUGUCUCUUGCGUAAGAAGGAAUAAUACAUUACACUUGGUAAUCCUUUAAUUUUGGCAGUCUUCAUUAGUUUUACUGUAUCUUCAUUAAUGAUUGGCUGUAAUUCUAUCAAGCGAGCUACUACUUGUAUAUCAUAUAGACUGGCACCUAAAUAAAUGCAUUGGCAUUUCUACUAGCUGAAAGUAAACUUAUACCAACUAAUGGCGUGCUUUCAGAGGUUUUUGCGAGUGAUCCAAAAGCUAUAUGA
rnacentral:lncRNA from 1 species